AUUAGGGGCUGGGGGGGCGGGGGUUCACUGGCUGCCCUGCAUCCUGCAUCUCCCCCUCCCAAGCUCAGAGACCCCACUCCGUGCCUCUGCUGGUACCCGUGGGGCUGCCACAGGCACCCCCCCAUCUCCCAUCUCACGCAGCAGCACAGACCCCAGCCCCAUCCUCCAGCAAGAGAUAUCCCCAAACCUUCCCAAACCACACACGCCUUGGCUCUCCACGUGGAUUAAACCAGCCCGGCAGGCGUUUUGCUAUGGUCUAGGGAAGAGCAGGAGGAGCAGCACCCCAAAGGCUGCAGGACAAACCCCGCACCCUGCUCGGGAAGCAGCAUCCUCCGAGGCUGUAAAAACAGCACAGAGGGGACGGAGUGGCCGCCCCCGUCCCCUGUCACUUACUUGAUGAAGUAGAAGCCCCCGUGCAGCGUGGUGUCCACCUCCCAGCCUCGGGGCAGCCCUGGAAGGACACAGCAGAAGCGGUGGUCAGCCUUCCUCGCCCCCACCUGCACAAGAGGGGAGCGUUGGGUCCCUCUCCCACCAGCGCUGGGUUUUGGAGGCUUCAAGGAGUCCUGCUGCAGAAGGGGGCUCUUAAGACCCCCCCCCGGGAACACCUCUCCAACCCCGCUGCAGGGGUUACGGGGGCUCGUGCAUCCCCAAGAGAUGCGGCAUCGCCUCGCGCCUCGUUUGAAGUCUCCCCCCAAAACCCAGCCCUGCUCUCCCAGCUGCUCGGGGGGCUCCAAGGCAUUUCUGGAGCUUUUCAUCACACGUCCCAAGAGAGGGUGGGGGGCACGCAGGGGGAGCCGGGGCCCGUCCCUUACCGGCGCAGGAGAAGUGCCCGCUCUGGACGGAGUAACCUGUGCUGGGGUGCACCCAGCUCGUGGACUUGGUCUCGUCGCUGUGAAAGACAAAGUGGGGGGCAGUGAGCACCCCGGGGGGCUCGGGGAAGGCCCUUUGGCAGGGCGAGGGCUUGGCAACACGAGAAACUUUUUUUUUUAUCCAGCCAAAGGAAAGGAAAGGAGCAGAUUUGAGGGAAAUUGGGGAGCGGCAUCCAGCAGGCAGCAGCCGGGACAGCAGCGAGCCCCGAGAAGGGAGGAACGGGGAGCAAGCCGAGAUGACCAUGAGUGACAGGAAAGCACCUGGACACCGAGCCUUGCAGCGGGCAGGACCCCUUGCUCCCAGCCUGGAUUAAGCCCCCCGGCCCCAGCAGCCCCCCAAAACCACGUGCCAAGCUGGGAGCGCAGCCCCCGCCCCCAGCCCCGUCCCCGUGGCACCCCCAGUCCCACCAGGCAGUCCCAUACUUGAUGAAGAAGAUGCGUCCGUCCCCGCAGACGCCGUAGGUCCACCUUCCCGGCAGGUCCAGCCACUCGAUGUCAUCGGCCAUGGGGGCCAGCAGGCGUGGGGCAGCCCCGUCCUCUGCUCCCCGUGCGGCUCGGGGAGUGCGAGCCAGCUCCCGGUCCCCAACCCUCCUCCUCUUCCUCCUCCAGCAAACACUUGCUCAGCUCAACCCUUCCACCCCGGGCUCUGUUUGCUGCAAAUAACCAAGGAGGGAAGAAGGAAAAAAAAAAAAAAAAAAAAAGGGAAAGAAAACCAAACCCAUCAAGUUAACCCCCUCGGAGCCAGGCUGCCACCUCGCCCGCCAGCCGGGGUUCAGAGGGCACCUGGGCGGCAGCGGCGCAGGCUCCCCGGCUGCCUCUGCGGGGCUAGCCCAUCGCAGCUUCCUCCCCUGCCUACUCAGUGUAAUUACCGUCAAUUAACUCCGGGUGAGUAAUUAUGGAGUUGUUCCUUCCCUCUCCUGUUCGUCUUAAACAAUGUCAAAUUCUUCUCGCCGUCUGAUCUCGCAGCCAAGCAGAGGCAGUAUGUAGGGCACCCUGAUGAUUAUCUGCAGCGCUCGCGGAGCUGCCCAGUGGGUAUUUUCUCUCUGCCUGUUCUUAGCCAUCAAUUAAACGUCUUUCAAGGGGAAAGGUGGGGUCUGGGAGGCACCUGGGCUGGGUGACUGUGAAGGAGGCAAUUGCCCUCGUGCCUCAGCGGCGCCUUGUCCGAGUUUCUCAUGGCACAAGCAGGAAGGAAGGCGCUCGCUCGGGAGGGGACGGAGAGGAAAAGGCAGGAGCCGGUCCCCGAAGGGGAUUCUUCUGCUGAGCUUAAGCACAGCCCUCACUUCAGAGCUGUUCCCUGCCAGGAUUUGGGAAACCACAUCACCCAAAGCCUUGGGAAGGAUUUUCUUAUAAUUCUU